GGACCCGCACAAGCGGUGGAGCAUGUGGUUUAAUUCGAUGCAACGCGAAAAACCUUACCUACUCUUGACAUACUUGGGAGCUCUUGUAAUGAGAGUGUGCCUUUUGGAACCAAGAUACAGGUGCUGCAUGGCUGUCGUCAGCUCGUGUCGUGAGAUGUUCCGUUAAGUCGGAUAACGAGCGCAACCCUUACCCUUAUUUGCCAGCGAUUCGGUCGGGAACUAUAAGGGGACUGCCGGUGAUAAACCGGAGGAAGGUGAGGACGACGUCAAGUCAUCAUGGCCCUUACGAGUAGGGCUACACACGUGCUACAAUGGCAAGUACAACGAGUCGCAAUACCGCGAGGUGGAGCA
rnacentral:rRNA from 1 species